UUUCCGUAGGUGAACCUGCGGAAGGAUCAUUAAAGUUAUAGUCCCCCGGCCCUCUGGGCUGGGGUCUUCUAUACCACCCUUUGUUUAUUACACCUUUGUUGCUUUGGCAGGCCUGCCCUCGGGCUGCUGGCUCCGGCCGGCUCGCGUCUGCCAGAGGACCUAAACUCUGUUUGUAUAUGAAGUCUGAGUACUAUAUAAUAGUUUAAACUUUCAACAACGGAUCUCUUGGUUCUC
rnacentral:misc_RNA from 1 species